rfam:Oryza nivara chromosome 2, whole genome shotgun sequence.
UUUAAGUGUAACCAUGAGUUUCUAUGCCCAACUUUGCCGUCAGUCUUUUUUAAUUAUUUUUAUAAUUAGUAUUUUUAUUGUUAUAAGAUGAUAAAACAUGAAUAGUCCUUUAUGCGUGUCUUAUUUCUCAAUUUUUUUUUCAAAAAAACUUGAAUAAGAUGGACGGUCAAAGUUGGGCACGAAAAAUCAUGGCAGCACUUAUA